GACGAACGCUGGCGGCGCGCCUAACACAUGCAAGUCGAACGGAGUUUGAGAGAGCUUGCUUUUUCAAACUUAGUGGCGAACGGGUGAGUAACGCGUGAGUAACCUGCCCUGGAGUGGGGGACAACAGUUAGAAAUGACUGCUAAUACCGCAUAUGCCUAAGUACCACAUGGUACAAUAGGGAAAGAAGCAAUUCGCUGAUAGAUGGGCUUGCGUCUGAUUAGAUAGUUGGUGGGGUAACGGCCUACCAAGUCGACGAUCAGUAGCCGGACUGAGAGGUUGAACGGCCACAUUGGGACUGAGACACGGCCCAA
rnacentral:rRNA from 1 species